ensembl:snRNA U1 U1 spliceosomal RNA
AUAAUUACCUGGCAUAGGAGAGAAUGUUAUGAAGGUUGUUCUCCCAGGGCGUUGCUUUUCCAUUGUACUGUGGAUGUACUGAUCCCGCGAUUAACCCAAAUGGGAAAAAUUUGGCUGCACAAUAAUAGUGGAGAACUGCGUUAGUGCUUUCCGCUG